rnacentral:misc_RNA from 1 species
AGCAGCCGCGGUAAUUCCAGCUCCAAUAGCGUAUAUUAAAGUUGUUGCAGUUAAAAAGCUCGUAGUUGAAUUUUGGGUCUGGCCGGGCGGUCCGCCCUCUGGGUGAGCACUGUUCCGACGCCGGGCCUAUCCUUCUGGUGAGUCGGCAUGUCCUUUAUUGGGUGUGUCGGGGAACCAGGACCAUUACCUUGAAAAAAUUAGAGUGUUCAAAGCAGGCGUAUGCUCGAAUACAUUAGCAUGGAAUAAUGAAAUAGGACGCGUGGUGCUAUUUUGUUGGUUUCUAGAACCGCCGUAAUGAUUAAUAGGGAUAGUUGGGGGCAUUAGUAUUCAAUUGUCAGAGGUGAAAUUCUUGGAUUUAUUGAAGACUAACUUCUGCGAAAGCAUUUGCCAAGGAUGU